AUUGAACGCUGGCGGUAUGCUUAACACAUGCAAGUCGAACGAUGAGAAAGAGCUUGCUCUUUCGAUUAGUGGCGGACGGGUGCGUAACGCGUAGGAAUCUACCUAUUAGUGGGGGACAACUUAGGGAAACUUAAGCUAAUACCGCAUACGCCCUACGGGGGAAAGAAGGGGAUCGCAAGACGUUUUGCUAAUAGAUGAGCCUGCGUAGGAUUAGCUAGUUGGUGGGGUAAAAGAUCACCAAGGCGACGAUCCUUAACUGGUUUGAGAGAAUGAUCAGUCACACUGGAACUGAGACACGGUCCAGACUCCUACGGGAGGCAGCAGUGGGGAAUAUUGGACAAUGGGCGAAAGCCUGAUCCAGCAAUACCGCGUGUGUGAAGAAGGCCUUAGGGUUGUAAAGCACUUUCAAUUGGAAGGAAAACCUCGAAGCUAAUACCUUCGAGUUUGACAUUACCUUUAGAAGAAGCACCGGCUAACUCCGUGCCAGCAGCCGCAGUAA
rnacentral:rRNA from 1 species